rnacentral:snRNA from 1 species
GUUUCCCCUCAGCAGCACAUAUACUAAAACUGAUUGAUGCAAAGAAGACUAGCAAUGGCUCCAAGCAAGGAUCACAUGCAAACUCAUGAAAUGUUGCUUUUCUUU